GCCUGUUGCUGUGGGCUUUUGGGGACAGGCCUGACAUGAUGGACCAGGGGUACCAUCAGAUAUCAAUUUAGGUAUCCGAAUUCAGAUAGUCAUAUUCGAAUACGGAUUCUGGUAUAUCAUCUACAGUCUUAAUUACAAAACCACAUAAGAGCCGUAAAAAUGUGAAGGAAAUAUCAUCAACAAUCUUCAAAAAAGUAUAAUAGAGAAAUAAAGAUACUGAAAAUAACGGCCCGAAAGGUAAAGGAAUUAACAAGAAAAACCGAUGUUAAAACAGUAAAAGAAUUAACUGUAAAAACGAACUCACUGAACUAAGGAUUAAAAUAAGAUUAAUGAUAAGUUUAUGAGUAAUCGAUAAUUGUCUAUUAAGUUUUCCUAUACAGGCAAUUUACCUGACACUCAUUUAAAGAAUAUCGAAGGAGUUAAAGGGGUUAAAUGCAAUAGUUUAAAUAAACAAUUGGACCAAUAUCGAAUGGGCCAGAGCAAAUAGUGGAUGGGCUAAUAGACAAUGGGCCAAAGUUUAUUUAAUUAAAGAUUGGUUGUAAACUUAUGUUAUAAAAGGAGUUUGUAAUAAAAAGUUUUAAUUAUUUGAAAGUUAACGAUCUUGUUAAUAUCAACUAACUUUUAAUGAUCCUCCUCCUUUCCCUCUACUGCCGGCGAUACUUCCGGUGACUGCUCAAGGCUCAAGGAGAAGAUAUAGUAACUCCGGUGGCUCAAAGUUAAUAAAAGGAACGGGGGUUAAGAAAAAAAAACUAAUCCUACCAAAAGAAAAUCUACAAAUGACGUUUGAAAAUUGAAUUUCUUGUCAUUUUAUUGAAUUCUUAUAUUUCAGAUCUUUUUAAAGUAAAUCUAAAUUUUAUGGACGACGGUAAAGAAUAUGAAAAUUAAAGAAGAAUAUCUUCUUCAUGAAUCUUCUAAUGAUGUGGAAGGUUCCAAGACCAGUCCGAAGAUGAUGAUGAAGACGAGUGUGAUCGACGAAUAUGAAUGUCAAAAUAUGGAGAUAUCUGAUGAGACCGAGAAUGUGUUAUUAAUUUGAGAAAAACAAUAUACCUUAGAAAAUAUAGAUUUUUUCUAAUUAUUUUCUGAUUUUUAUCUCAUUUAAAAUCAGAGCUAAAUUAAUACUAUCAACAAAAAUUCAAAAUUUCCUGAUAUUUAAAAAAAAAUUUACAGUACAUUUACAGUUGACGAUGAAAUACGAAGAAGAUGAUGAUGAUAAUAUGUUUAAUGUGAUCUAGAACGUCUAAUUAUUUUAGGAGAAGGAUGUACCAUAGGAAAUAUAGAUGGUUAUACAGAUUUGAUUACAGGGAAACACAAACAAAAAUCAGGUGUAUUAAAAUUGGGGGAAUACCGAUUUUUUUUAAAAAAAAGCACGGAACCAAUCGAUUUGUUCACUGAUUACCUGAAAUAAGGACGACGUAUAGAACAGAUAGUGGGGAGUUGAAAUUCCACGGUUAUCGAAAACCAGAUUUCGACGAUUGUUGAAUGGAAUGCGGCGAGGAACAAGCCACAACGAAGAUGAGAAGAAGAAGACUACGAUUUUGGAAGUCCGAUUGGAUGAAAACACAAAUUUCAUUGAUUCCGUGCGUCGUCGUACGGCUGCUAAAGGAGGGAGUAUGGUCGAAAACUGCGGUCCCUAUAUCUUGCAGUAGGUAGUAUGGUCGGGCGUCAACUUCAACCUCGGAAUUUAGGGUGGAAGACGGACGACUGUGAGUGGCCUAGAGACGAGAACGGUGAGAUUGGCUGACUGCAG
rnacentral:lncRNA from 1 species